rnacentral:lncRNA from 1 species
GUCAGGUGACGUCCUACGUCCGCCCCUCCCAGCCUCACCGGGUCGGGGCCCAGCGCGCUCCCAACCGCCCCCGGGAGCCCCGGUUGACCGCAGCUUGGCUCCGCCUACUUCGCCUACCCCGAGUGGCGGCCGCGUGGGGGUUUCAGCCCAUGCCUUAACUGACAGAGGACUGAGCCAGGUGGCCGAGGAAGCGGGUACUGAAGGGACCGGGCCGGCAGGGUCACAGGGCCACGCCACACAACGAAUUCCAUGGACUCACACCAAGAGUAGUAAGAAGCAUACUGCAUUGCUCCUGGAGUUGGAGGAACUUGACUGGACUUUUUCCAUGUGCAACUGUAAAGAAAUCAGGGUAAAGAAAAGGGUAUCUCUGGCCAAAUCUUGCUGGCAAGAUUCACAGGAGCUGGCUCAUUGUCCUGUUGGUGAGGCCUGGGGACUCAACCAUCUAGGCUUGCCUAAGUCAUUCUACUUGGUAUCGAUCUUAAAAAAAAUGCUCCGUCACCAUGGAGCACAGCCAGCUGCAGCAGUGGCAACCAAGAUCCUCUCUGCAUGAAGAAACAACAGACAAAAAAAAAAAAAAAAAAAGAAAAAAGAAAAAAGAAAAAAGAAAAAAAACUUUUCUGCUAUUGUUUUUCUUCCCCUAAAAUUUAAAUUUUAAAAUUCUUUUUUCUUCUUUCAAGAUUUUAUUUAUUUAUUCAUGAGAACCACAGAGAGAGAGGCAGAGACAUAGGCAGAGGGAGAAGCAGACUCCCCACCGAGGAGGGAGCCCAAUGUGGGACUUGAUCCCAG